UACGUAGGGUCCGAGCGUUGUCCGGAAUUAUUGGGCGUAAAGGGCUCGUAGGCGGUUUGUCGCGUCGGGAGUGAAAACUCAGGGCUCAACCCUGAGCGUGCUUCCGAUACGGGCAGACUAGAGGUAUGCAGGGGAGAACGGAAUUCCUGGUGUAGCGGUGGAAUGCGCAGAUAUCAGGAGGAACACCGGUGGCGAAGGCGGUUCUCUGGGCAUUACCUGACGCUGAGGGGCGAAAGCAUGGGGAG
rnacentral:rRNA from 1 species